CAGGCGCAGUCAGGCAACCCAAUGGGGGGUCUUUUUUAUCCUCUGUAUCUCAAAAACUAUUCAUCACAGCUAAAAACCCAAAACACCAUUGGAAAGAGGAGGUCCAGAUCUAUAGGAGUCAGUUAUGUAUGCCUCUCUUGCGAACGUACAUGCACGUUCAGGGAGUGUUGAAUGUUAACACUUAUGUCGGUGCGUGCGGGAUGAUCAGCCAUAUUGAGGGAACUGCGGACAUCUCUCCUUCAGAUUCUGGCAAGGGAGUAUUGCCAACUGCAAUAUUUACAACUAUUUGGUCAAAGAAUCAGUCAGGUGAUAGGUGAAGCUAUGCAAAAAUGCCGCUAUAUUGGGCAAGAACAUCCACCAGUUACUCAUCCGUAGAUUUGCCGCGCUGAGCUGAUAUGAUUUUCCACUAAAUUUAGUUAAGAACCCACUCAAUUGGCAAUCCUGUGUUGUGAGAAUUAGUGUUGGAACACUCUCAUACGCGGGAGAUUUGAGUGCGGGUGGAGCUCGCAGCGAGUGUUUAGCACCACCAGCAAAUACGCCUAACGUUCGCUGCUAGCGUUUAGCAAUGAAAGGGUUAAGAGAUGCUUUUGAAGAGUUUGAGGAGAAAGGGAAGAUCAAAAUUGGUCUUGAAAAUGAGCCGGUGUACAAAGAAGAUACCCAAAGAAAGAAACAAAGAAGUGUGAAGCUCAGACAAAACAAUGGCAAUCUGAAGGUAGUUUUUUCAGGGAGGGAAAAUUUUAAGGUCAUAGUUUCUUCCCAUGAUCGAUCACUCGUUAAACAGAACUUCAGAAGAGGCUGGAAACAUAUGAUGCUGCCUCUGGUAAAUUUGGCUUCCUUUAAAAAAUAUCCUUGGUAAAUGGUGACCAGCUGAGGGAUGUGGCAGAGAGGCUGGUAAAAACCUACCCAGAAGACCUCAAUACCAGCUUCUCUGAGGAAAUUGUUAAUUUCCAAGAGUACAUGAAUUAACCUGAAUCUGAUGUGUGGGCUAGUCAAAAAGGUGAAAAUAAGGGAAGCUUUAUUGCUUUGAGAAUGCUUCAAACCAUUAUUAACAAUGAAAUGCAGUACUUUUCCAAACAUGUACAUUUGUUUACGUAUAUACUUGUCACUUCUCGUCACAAACUGUUCUGGAGAAAGGUCUUUUUUCUGCAAUGAAACGUAUUAAAAAUUACCUGGGAUCCACUCUGAAAGAGGAAAAGCCAGUGGCAGUGCCAAGGGGGGGCUUGGGGGGGCUGGAGCCCCCCCAAUAAUGAGCCAAGCCCCCACUCAGCCCCACCAAUAUUGCUGCCUGAUGAGGAUGAUGAGGAUGCCUAAUGAGGACUGAAGCUGCCUGGAAGGAGUUAGAGGAGGCUGCUGAGGAUUUGUGCAAGGCAGUUGGGAUACGCACGGAGACUCAGCGUCUGGGUAGACAACGAUCUGCUCCCAGACACCUGGAUGAAUUCAUCAUAACAUCUAGUACAGGUCAGAGAGAUGGAGCUACACCACCACAUGCCGGGAGAAAGACCUUCUAUGCCAUCAAAGAUAGAAUGUUCAAUGAGCUGACCAGGCAAUUCUCAUCUAAUGCCUGCAAUGUUCUGAUGGGUGCUACUGCCUUGAACCCGAAACAUACUUCAUUUCUGGACAAAGAAGCGCUGUCAGGAAUGGCAGCCAAUUAUGAAGUGGCAGAGGAUGAUCUUGCAGUGGAGGUCCACCAAUUGAAAAGACUCAUAGCUAGGAAGAGAGACAAGGGCCAGGAAGUGUCCACACCACUGGAGCUCGCAGCCAUCUGGAGCCAUACAAGGAUGCCUUCAUGGAUCUGCAUAAACUUGUCUGCAUUGCAGUGACCCUCCCUGUCACCUCAGCCGCCUGUGAGAGGAGCUUCUCAUGUCUGAAGCUCCUCAAGACAUACUUGAGGAACAGCAGUGGCAACAUCCGCACCAGCAACCUUGCUGUAAUAUCAAUUAAUUCGAGGAGGGCCAAACAGCUGAACAUUGAUGCUAUUAUAGACACAUUUGCUGUCAAUCACCAGAACAGGCACAUAGUUUUAAAGUAACAUCUUGAUUUAAAGUUCUUGGGCUGUUUGCCAUGCUCUAACUUCUACUAUUCUUCCUCAGAUUGUAUUAACUUCAUAUAGAAUCAUUCUUUUCUGCCAUGUUAACUACGUACUUACACAUGUCUAUAUAUUUUAUUUCUUCACUUUGAUGACAUUUUGUGAAGCCCCUUCACAUUUUACCCCAGCCCCUCCUCAGCCCCCCCCAAUAAAAAUUUCCUGGCUCCACCACUGUGAAAAGCUCAAUCAUUUGGCAGUAAUGCAUAUAGAAUUGUCUGUGCUCUGGAAAUUGAAGUUGAACAAUAUUCUGGAUGAGUUUGUUGAAAGAUUAACGAGAAAAACGUUUAAGUAGCGACAUACAUUAGUAGGCCCAUAUAUGUUUUAACUUUAUGGUUCAGAACAUGUAUUUUGGUAUUGUUUUGCUUUAUGCUAAUUAAAGGUUCUCUGAUAAGAUGAUAUAAUUUUCUUUGUUACUUCAUUUGUAAUUCAGUGUAAUAAAUUGUACGAAAAGAGAGCGUGAAACGGGGAGGGGGAUGUCGAGGGGCUCAAAAAAGCUUGAAGCCUAGGGGCCCUGCCAUGGGUUUGUAACGGUCUAAAUGUGAACUCUUCUCGUAUCAUCACAAUCAUCGCCAUUGUUUGCUUUUAUCAUCAUCACCAUCUUUUCCUCAUUGAAACGAUCCAAAUGUGUAAUGAGUGAGUGGGUAUGGAAUGCAAGUGAGUGAAUGAUUAUAUAUUACAACAAACGAGCAGGUGAGCAGAUGUGUGGACGGGUGAACGAGUGUGCGUGAUAAGUAGAGAUUAUUGGCGUGAAUGAGGGUGUGAAUGGAUGAAAGACUGUUCUGAAAUCCCUCAUCUCCAGUCUCGAACCCUAGAAUGAUUAUUAGUUAGCUAGCGAUAGAUUAUCGAGUUGUAAUGCCGAGGUCAGGGAGUACACCGGGGGAAGUUGAGUGCGCAAAUAAGAAGUCACGUGAAGAAGGGGAGGAGCUAUGCAAGAAGACCAGGCGAGCAGGCAAGGGCAGGGAGAAGCACGGGCAGUGAGGAGACGAGCACCACCACAGCAAGAGGGCAGCCAGGGAGGAGACAGAAACCCUGAGAUACAGGCAGACAGUGAGAGGCAGAGAGCGAGACUGACGAGCGGUGAGGGAUGCACGUUAAGAGGUUGGCGUGACCGUCCAUCACAGCCCUGUGAACACCACCGCAAGCACGGCAGAGGCGAGGCAAGGCACAGCAAAGCUCAGCAAGGCGAGGCAAAACAAAAGCACGGCAGAAGCAGCCUCUUCAACAACGCCUUAAACCAGCCUUGCCGUCGUAAACCACCCAACCUAGGCCUCUUCAACCACGCCUCGUCAACAACGCUGCUGCAGUUGCCAGCCCUGGCAGUCUCCACCCCCCCGCCGGCGCCUCAAUCGCCCCAGUGCCUUCCUCCAUCCUGCACCAGUCAGCACUUCAAGGGUCGUCAACACAGAUAAGCAUUCAAAUGUUCCCCAAUCUCCCUGAUAGAUAGUUAGUUAGGUUCAGUAAUAUGUACGUAUGUAUUCAUUUAAAAAUUGUCACUCCGCUAACCGCCCAGGGCCUGUAACUAUAUUUAUACAUAAGAAAAGUGAUUAAGUUACUGUAAGUGCUAUAAUUUCAAGCCUGUCAACCUGCCAUUUGGGCAUUACUGAACACACACCCACACAUUAUCACCACUUCCCCCUUAACUAAACAUUGUCUCAGAGUGGUUCACAUGGGAAUCCACCCACCUUCCAUCAUUACCGCACUAAAACCCAGAACGAGUGUUCACUUGUCUUGAGGCUUGUCUCAACAUCAUUGACAACCGCUCGGAAAUAGCCAGACGACCACCCCGCUACCACAUUACCAUCUAAACAGUGGCCGUCAGAAGGAAUGUAGCGUUGGCUUGGAAAAAAAGACGUUACAGGUUAAUAUGGCACUGACUCCAGUACACCAUUACAUUACUGCCAAACAUGGCAAACAUAUUCACAAUUAUAUAAUUCAUGUUUCUAUACCGACAUGACAUGUAACAGCAGGAAAACUUGGUAGAUUCAUUGCAUAUUGAUGCACAAUGUUGCAUGGCUACCAGGUCAACCUAUUGCAGGGCUGGGGUGAGGCAAGUACAUGAGGACAGAGAUGGGGUAAAUGGGGAAGGGUAGGAGGCACAGGAACACUGCUUUAUCUGUGGCAGGACAUUUGAAUCAUAUUUUUUUAUUUUCAAGUGUCAGAACCAAAACCCAUCAGAACUCAAGGACUACCUGUUAAUUCAUGAACCCAUUUGACUUACCUAUUUAAAUGUAUUUUAUAGGUGGCAUAUGGCCUAAGAUGCUCACUCUUCUCUCACAAAACUUGGGUAUGUAAGCCGUUAUCCCAAAUAGAGCAUAAAUAAAGCCCCGUGUUCAUCGGGUAACAAGUUUAUACCUGUCACAAUGCAAUGAAGAUAAGGAUGAUUGAUAAAGAUGCAAACAAGAUGCAGCUCAACAUAAUGCAAAACAACUGUCAUUGGAAUGCCAGAUACAGAAGCCCCCCGCCGUUCACGAGUAUUUUGUUACGCGAGAUUUCCGUGAUCUGCGAAACAGUGAUCGCCGGGACUAAUCAAAUAGGGAAAAUAAGGUUUCAUUCUACCAUCUCAAAAAAAAAAAAAAAAAAAAAAAAAAAAAAAAACAA